UUAAAUAUAUUAAGGCAUGGCCGGGUAAGGUAGAAAUACCUUACUUUCUUUUCACUAUUUGCUGGGACCCCUUUAGAGUUUUUGGAACUAGUAUUGCAUACUUUCAUUUAAAAGAAAAGAGGCAGAAUACAGUCACAUUUCAAAGGAUUAGGCAAUCAGCAGGAAACCAACGAUAAAAGGGCUGCUUAGGGCGGUGAACCUAUAAAUUAUAAAAAUGUUUGGCUACUUUAUGGGGGUAGCCGCCUUAUCAGCAUUAUUAAACACUUUUAUUUAGUAGGAUCCUCAGAGACUACACGUGAAAUAUCUUAGUUUAGUAAAUAUAUUAUAUUUGUAAGAAUAUUCUAUAUUUAAAGAUAAAGAUAAAGAUAUAGUCCAGCAUUUAAUGAAAAUUAAUU
rnacentral:ncRNA from 1 species